AGAGUUUGAUCAUGGCUCAGGAUGAACGCUGGCGGCGUGCUUAAUACAUGCAAGUCGAACGGAGAUAGUAGCAAUAUUAUCUUAGUGGCGAACGGGUGAGUAACGCGUUGGUGACCUGCCCCGAAGAGAGGGAUAGCAGUUCGAAAGGACUGAUAAUACCUCAUGUGGUUGAAGGUUUUAGAAUCCUUCAACUAAACGGAUUUAUUCGCUUCGGGAGGGGCCUGCGUCCCAUCAGCUAGUUGGUAGGGUAAUGGCCUACCAAGGCGAUGACGGGUAGGGGACCUGAGAGGGUGGCCCCCCACAAUGGAACUGAAACACGGUCCAUACACCUACGGGUGGCAGCAGUAGGGAAUAUUGGUAAUCUGCGAAAGCGGGAACCAGCAACGCCGCGUGCACGAUGAAGGCCUUCGGGUCGUAAAGUGCUUUUAGAGAGGAUGAGGAAGGACAGUACUUUCUGAAUAAGCCUCGGCUAACUACGUGCCAGCAGCCGCGGUAAAACGUAGGAGGCUAGCGUUAUCCGGAUUUACUGGGCGUAAAGCGCGUGCAGGUGGUCUUGUAAGUUGGAUGUGAAAGCUCCCGGCUUAACUGGGAGAGGUCGUUCAAAACUGCAAGACUUGAGAUUGGUAGAGGGAGGUGGAAUUCCGGGUGUAGUGGUGAAAUGCGUAGAUAUCCGGAGGAACACCAGUGGCGAAAGCGGCCUCCUGGACCAAUUCUGACACUCAGACGCGAAAGCUAAGGUAGCAAACGGGAUUAGAGACCCCGGUAGUCUUAGCUGUAAACGAUGUGAACUUGGCGUCGGUGGGUUUAAAUCCAUCGGUGCCGAAGCUAACGCGAUAAGUUCACCGCCUGGGGACUACGGCCGCAAGGUUAAAACUCAAAGGAAUUGACGG
rnacentral:rRNA from 1 species